GUGACCUCGGAUCAGGUAGGAAUAC
rnacentral:rRNA from 1 species